CCUACGGGCGGCAGCAGUGGGGAAUAUUGGACAAUGGGCGAAAGCCUGAUCCAGCCAUGCCGCGUGUGUGAAGAAGGCCUUCGGGUUGUAAAGCACUUUCAGUGGGGAAGAAAGCCUUGGGGCUAAUACCCUCGAGGAAGGACAUCACCCACAGAAGAAGCACCGGCUAACUCCGUGCCAGCAGCCGCGGUAAUACGGAGGGUGCGAGCGUUAAUCGGAAUUACUGGGCGUAAAGCGCGCGUAGGCGGUCUGAUAAGCCGGUUGUGAAAGCCCCGGGCUCAACCUGGGAACGGCAUCCGGAACUGUCAGGCUUGAGUGCAGGAGAGGAAGGUAGAAUUCCCGGUGUAGCGGUGAAAUGCGUAGAGAUCGGGAGGAAUACCAGUGGCGAAGGCGGCCUUCUGGACUGACACUGACGCUGAGGUGCGAAAGCGUGGGUAGCAAACAGGAUUAGAUACCCCAGUAGUC
rnacentral:rRNA from 1 species